rnacentral:rRNA from 1 species
AGUCGAGCGAACACUUCGGUGGGAAGCGGCGAACGGGUGAGUAACACGUAGGUGAUCUGCCCAUCAGACGGGGACAACGAUUGGAAACGAUCGCUAAUACCGGAUAGGACGAAAGUUUAAAGAUGCUUCUGGCAUCACUGAUGGAUGAGCCUGCGGCGCAUUAGCUAGUUGGUGGGGUAAAGGCCUACCAAGGCGACGAUGCGUAGCCGACCUGAGAGGGUGAACGGCCACACUGGGACUGAGACACGGCCCAGACUCCUACGGGAGGCAGCAGUAGGGAAUCUUCGGCAAUGGGCGAAAGCCUGACCGAGCAACGCCGCGUGAAUGAAGAAGGCCUUCGGGUUGUAAAAUUCUGUUAUAAGGGAAGAAAGGUGAUAGGAGGAAAUGACUAUCAAUUGACGGUACCUUAUGAGAAAGCCACGGCUAACUACGUGCCAGCAGCCGCGGUAAUACGUAGGUGGCAAGCGUUAUCCGGAAUUAUUGGGCGUAAAGAGCGCGCAGGUGGUUAAUUAAGUCUGAUGUGAAAGCCCACGGCUUAACCGUGGAGGGUCAUUGGAAACUGGUUGACUUGAGUGCAGAAGAGGGAAGUGGAAUUCCAUGUGUAGCGGUGAAAUGCGUAGAGAUAUGGAGGAACACCAGUGGCGAAGGCGGCUUCCUGGUCUGCAACUGACACUGAGGCGCGAAAGCGUGGGGAGCAAACAGGAUUAGAUACCCUGGUAGUCCACGCCGUAAACGAUGAGUGCUAAGUGUUGGGGGUCGAACCUCAGUGCUGAAGUUAACGCAU